rnacentral:lncRNA from 11 species
GAAAGAUGAAAGUAUAUUGCCCUAAAACAUCUCCCACAUGAAUGUCAAUCACUGAUUAGCAAGGUUGGUUCAAAUCUCAUGUAUCCCAUUAGCCCCAGACGCUUUUUGAGGAAGACUGAACUGGCUGCAAACUGGUAUAAGAGGCUCUCCUUCAAAUAUUUAUAUCCCAAGAAAAUGUGCCUUUUCCAAUCUUCCUUUCUUGAACAUGGAGAUGAGCAGAGAAGAUAAACUUGCUUACAUAAAAUAUGCAACAAGCAAGGAGCUAACACAGAGUAAGCUCAGGAGCAAACAAUCAGUAAGCUUGAAGUCGAAUAACAAUCACUUCGGAGUGGCCCAAAUGUGCUGACCUUAACUAUCUCAUUCACCCAACUUGUGUAAGCAGGGUGAGUAUUUUUCUCUUAACACAC